UACGUAGGGGGCAAGCGUUGUCCGGAAUCAUUGGGCGUAAAGCGCGUGUAGGCGGCCAGAAAAGUCCGCUGUGAAAACUCGAGGCUCAACCUCGAGCUGUCGGUGGAAACUUUCUGGCUAGAGUCCGGAAGAGGAGAAUGGAAUUCCUGGUGUAGCGGUGAAAUGCGCAGAUAUCAGGAAGAACACCCGUGGCGAAGGCGGGUCUCUGGGCCGAUACUGACGCUGAGGAGCGAAAGCGUGGGGAGCAAACAGG
rnacentral:rRNA from 1 species